rnacentral:rRNA from 1 species
AAUAGAUACCCGGGUAGUCCACGCCGUAAACGAUGAGUGCUAAGUGUUAGGGGGUUUCCGCCCCUUAGUGCUGCAGCUAACGCAUUAAGCACUCCGCCUGGGGAGUACGGUCGCAAGACUGAAACUCAAAGGAAUUGACGGGGGCCCACACAAGCGGUGGAGCAUGUGGUUUAAUUCGAAGCAACGCGAAGAACCUUACCAGGUCUUGACAUCCCGCUGACCGCUAUGGAGACAUAGUUUUCCCUUCGGGGACAGCGGUGACAGGUGGUGCAUGGUUGUCGUCAGCUCGUGUCGUGAGAUGUUGGGUUAAGUCCCGCAACGAGCGCAACCCUUGUUCUUAGUUACCAUCAUUUAGUUGGGCACUCUAAGGAGACUGCCGGUGACAAACCGGAGGAAGGUGGGGAUGACGUCAAAUCAUCAUGCCCCUUAUGACCUGGGCUACACACGUGCUACAAUGGACGGUACAAACGGUCGCGAAGUCGCGAGACGGAGCCAAUCCGAUAAAACCGUUCUCAGUUCGGAUUGUAGGCUGCAACUCGCCUAC